rnacentral:ncRNA from 1 species
GCAGAGUAGACAAGAUGCGUUAAGUGCCGCGGAAUGGGAUGUCGUCCGCGGACGAAAGGCUUAAGCCUGCGGUAUCUUGUCGCGUCCGUUG